rnacentral:ncRNA from 1 species
GCCAGGGGUCCUGAAAAGGAUCUCCAGAUCGUUCACGAAGUACUUCGUAACGGUCCGUGUCCCAACAGCCCACAAGGCCGUACGACGAGGUUGCGACUGGAACGAAGUUGUCCUGAGGGACGGGGAAGCGUUUAGCGUCAGACAGAUCGAAAGAUGCAGCAGGUGCCCAAGGUUUCCACGAGCCGACCGGCCCAAGCGACCUUAUCGAGCUGUUC